rnacentral:rRNA from 1 species
AACGAACGCUGGCGGCAUGCCUAACACAUGCAAGUCGAACGAGACCUUCGGGUCUAGUGGCGCACGGGUGCGUAACGCGUGGGAACCUGCCCUUAGGUUCGGAAUAACUCCCCGAAAGGGGUGCUAAUACCGGAUAAUGUCUUCGGACCAAAGAUUUAUCGCCUUUGGAUGGGCCCGCGUUGGAUUAGCUAGUUGGUAGGGUAAAAGCCUACCAAGGCGACGAUCCAUAGCUGGUCUGAGAGGAUGAUCAGCCACACUGGGACUGAGACACGGACCAGACUCCGACGGGAGGCAGCAGUGGGGAAUAUUGGACAAUGGGCGAAAGCCUGAUCCAGCAAUGCCGCGUGAGUGAUGAAGGCCUUAGGGUUGUAAAGCUCUUUUACCCGGGAUGAUAAUGACAGUACCGGGAGAAUAAGCACCGGCUAACUCCGUG